CCUGGUUGAUCCUGCCAGUAGUCAUAUGCUUGUCUCAAAGAUUAAGCCAUGCAUGUCUAAGUACACGCCCUCGCAAGGCGAAACCGCGAAUGGCUCAUUAAAUCAGUUAUGGUUCCUUAGAUCGUACAUAUCCUACUUGGAUAACUGUGGUAAUUCUAGAGCUAAUACAUGCGACUGAGCCCUCGGAGCCGUCAAAAGCCGAGAGGGUGCUUUUAUUAGACCAAGACCAGACGUGCCUUCGGGUACGAUCGUCGUGGUGACUCUGGAUAACUAUGGCGGAUCGCACGGCCGCAGCGCCGGCGACGCAUCUUUCAAGUGUCUGCCUUAUCAACUGUCGAUGGUAGGUUAUGCGCCUACCAUGGUCGUUACGGGUAACGGGGAAUCAGGGUUCGAUUCCGGAGAGGGAGCCUGAGAAACGGCUACCACAUCCAAGGAAGGCAGCAGGCGCGCAAAUUACCCACUCCCGGCACGGGAGGUAGUAGAACGAAAAAUAACGAUACGGGACUCUAACGAGGCUCCGUAAUCGGAAUGAGUACACUCUAAACCUUUUAACGAGGAUCGAUUGGAGGGUAAGUCUGGUGCCAGCAGCCGCGGUAAGACCAGCUCCAAUAGCGUAUAUUAAAGUUGCUGCGGUUAAAAAGCUCGUAGUUGGAUCUCAGCCGCGCUCCGCGGGACGCGUCGCGAGGCGCCGUACCCGCGGGCCGGCAUUGGGCCGGCGGUCUCCGUUGGCCUUCAAAGGCUGACGGGGCUCGGCGGCGUCUUUACUUUGAAAAAAUUAGGGUGCUCAGAACAGGCUUGAGCCUGCAUAUUCGCGCAUGGAAUAAUGGAAUAGGACCUCGGUUCUAUUCUGCUGGUUUUCGGAUCCCGAGGUAAUGAUCGCAAGGCGAAACGGGGGGCAUUCGUAUUGCGGCGCUAGAGGUGAAAUUCUUGGACCGCCGCAAGACGGACUACUGCGAAAGCAUUUGCCAAGAAUGUUUUCAUUAAUCAAGAACGAAAGUUAGAGGUUCGAAGGCGAUCAGAUACCGCCCUAGUUCUAACCAUAAACGAUGCCGACCAGCGAUCCGCCCGAGUUCUUCGUACGUCUCGGCGGGCAGCUUCUGGGAAACCAAAGUUUUUGGGUUCCGGGGGAAGUAUGGUUGCAAAGCUGAAACUUGAAGGAAUUGACGGAAGGGCACCACAAGGAGUGGAGCCUGCGGCUUAAUUUGACUCAACACGGGAAAACUUACCCGGCCCGGACACCGGAAGGAUUGACAGAUUAAUAGCUCUUUCUUGAUUCGGUGGGUGGUGGUGCAUGGCCGUUCUUAGUUGGUGGAGUGAUUUGUCUGGUUAAUUCCGAUAACGAACGAGACUCCAGCCUGCUAAAUAGACCCACGGUCCGCAGUACCGUGAGCGGGUCUUCUUAGAGGGACGCGGGGUAGCCGCGUGAAACGGAGCGAUAACAGGUCUGUGAUGCCCUUAGAUGUCCGGGGCCGCACGCGCGCUACACUGAAGGGAUCAGAACGCGUUUCCCCUAGCCCGAGAGGGCUGGGAAACCGUGUGAACCCCCUUCGUGCUAGGGAUAGGGGAUUGUAAUUGUUCCCCUCGAACGAGGAAUUCCUAGUAAACGCGAGUCAUCAGCUCGCGUUGAUUACGUCCCUGCCCUUUGUACACACCGCCCGUCGCUACUACCGAUUGAAUGAUUUAGUGAGGUCUUCGGACCGGUCCGGCGGACGGGCC
rnacentral:rRNA from 1 species